UACGUAGGGGGCAAGCGUUGUCCGGAAUCAUUGGGCGUAAAGAGCUCGUAGGCGGUCUGUUACGUCCGCUGUGAAAACCCAGGGCUUAACCCUGGGCUUGCAGUGGAUACGGGUAGACUAGAGGCAGGUAGGGGAGAAUGGAAUUCCCGGUGUAGCGGUGAAAUGCGCAGAUAUCGGGAGGAACACCGGUGGCGAAGGCGGUUCUCUGGGCCUGACCUGACGCUGAGGAGCGAAAGCGUGGGGAGCGAACAGG
rnacentral:rRNA from 1 species